ACGGCGAGUGAAGCGGCACGAGCUCAAAUUUGAAAUCUGACCCCUUCCGGGGCCCGAGUUGUAAUUUGUAGAGGGUGUUUCGGGCGCGGCUCCGGUCUAAGUCCCUUGGAACAGGGCGUCACAGAGGGUGAGAAUCCCGUACGCGACCGGCGGCCAACCCUASACGAAGCCCCUUCGACGAGUCGAGUUGUUUGGGAAUGCAGCUCAAAAUGGGUGGUAAAUUCCAUCUAAAGCUAAAUACCGGCCGGAGACCGAUAGCGCACAAGUAGAGUGAUCGAAAGAUGAAAAGCACUUUGGAAAGAGAGUUAAAAAGUACGUGAAAUUGUUGAAAGGGAAGCGCUUGCGACCAGACCUGCCCGCGGGCGAUCAGCCUCUGUUCUCAGGGGUGCACUCGCCCGUGACCAGGCCAGCAUCGGUUCGGGCGGCGGGACAAAGGCCCCGGGAACGUAGCUUCGCUCCGGCGAAGUGUUAUAGCCCGGGGUGCAAUGCCGCCCGCCCGGACCGAGGACCGCGCUUCGGCUAGGAUGCUGGCGUAAUGGUCGUAAGCGACCCGUCUUGAAACACGGACCAAGGAGUCUUAUAUUUAUGCGAGU
rnacentral:rRNA from 1 species